UGGGGAAUAUUGGACAAUGGGCGAAAGCCUGAUCCAGCCAUGCCGCGUGUGUGAAGAAGGUCUUCGGAUUGUAAAGCACUUUAAGUUGGGAGGAAGGGCAGUAAGUUAAUACCUUGCUGUUUUGACGUUACCGACAGAAUAAGCACCGGCUAACUCUGUGCCAGCAGCCGCGGUAAUACAGAGGGUGCAAGCGUUAAUCGGAAUUACUGGGCGUAAAGCGCGCGUAGGUGGUUCGUUAAGUUGGAUGUGAAAGCCCCGGGCUCAACCUGGGAACUGCAUCCAAAACUGGCGAGCUAGAGUACGGUAGAGGGUGGUGGAAUUUCCUGUGUAGCGGUGAAAUGCGUAGAUAUAGGAAGGAACACCAGUGGCGAAGGCGACCACCUGGACUGAUACUGACACUGAGGUGCGAAAGCGUGGGGAGCAAACA
rnacentral:rRNA from 1 species